rnacentral:rRNA from 1 species
CCUACGGUGGUCAGCAGUGAGUAAUAUUGGUCAAUGGGCGGGAGCCUGAACCAGCCAAGUCGCGUGAGGGAAGACGGUCCUAUGGAUUGUACACCUCUUUAGGCGUGGAGCAAUGCCGGGCACGUGUGCCCGGAGUGCGAGUACCCGCAGAAUAAGCAUCGGCUAACUCCGUCCCAGCAGCCGCGGUAAUACGGAGGAUGCGAGCGUUAUCCGGAUUUAUUGGGUUUAAGGGGUGCGUAGGCGGAUUUUUAAGUCAGCGGUAAAAUGUCCGGGCUCAACCCGGGCCGGCCGUUGAAACUGGGGAUCUUGAGUGGGCGAGAAGUAUGCGGAAUGCGGGGUGUAGAGGUGAAAUGCAUAGAUAUCACGCAGAACUCCGAUUGCGAAGGCAGCAUACCGGCGCCCGACUGACGCUGAGGCACGAAAGCGUGGGGAUCGAACAGGAUUAGAUACCCGUGUAGUC